rnacentral:rRNA from 1 species
UACAGAGGUCUCAAGCGUUGUUCGGAUUCAUUGGGCGUAAAGGGUGCGUAGGCGGCGGGGCCAGUCUGAUGUGAAAUCCCAGGGCUCAACCCUGGAACUGCAUUGGAUACUGCCUUGCUAGAGUACUGGAGAGGGAACUGGAAUUUACGGUGUAGCAGUGAAAUGCGUAGAGAUCGUAAGGAAGGCCAGUGGCGAAGGCGAGUUCCUGGACAGUGACUGACGCUGAGGCACGAAGGCCAGGGGAGCAAACGGG